AGGGAUUGAACCCACCCCCUCGUAUUGGAAGGCAGAUUCUUAACCACUGGACCACCAGGGAAGUCCCUUCUUAUAGUCUUUGAUAUCUUCCUUGCUUUCUGGUAUGUCCAGUCUCAUCCUUUACGUUUCCCACCCCAGAUCUGGAAUUAGCCAUUUCUCUGAGAAGCUCUGACUUCUUUUAGUAGGGAAUGCUAUUAUUUAGCAACUACCAUCUGGACACUGGAAUGUUCAUGACUGCUGGGUUGCUCAGUGCUUCUAGAACUUUUCAGUAGACUGGGCUACAAAAUGCGUUUUUUAUUUUGAGGGAAAAAUGUAUCAUGAGUUCAUAUUGAUACUUCCAAUUGAAAUUGUAAUUUUCAUAGUUUAACGUUGAUUUUAUGUUUGAGUUUCCAAUUAUUGCUAAAAAUCUGGUUUCUAGCAAGUAUUCAAUAGUAUAUUUACUUUAGCCUAUCAUAUAUAUAGAAAAUCAUAAUAAGAUAUUAUUAGUAACAAUUCAGUUAUUGAAUGCUAUUUAAGAUUUCCUUGAUGCUAAUGGCUCAUUAAGCUAAUGGCUCAUUGGGCAUGGAUAGUUGUGUUCCUAUGUUUUAAAGUGAUUUGAAAGAAUCUUCUGAGUGUUUAACCAGCUUAAUAUAUAGUCAGAUUUCUUUCCCCUAGUUUUCAGUUUUUAAAGGAUUUUGCUUUUUAGUAUUCUCCUUUUUUUUCCAAGUUUAAUUUUGAAACUUUUCAAACCUACAAGAAAAACUGAAAGAAUAGUACAGUUGAACACCCAUAUGCCUUUCACCUUAGAUUGACCAAUGAACAUUUUCCCAGUUUGCUUUCUCUCUUAUCUCUCUUAACUCUCUCCCUCCCUCUGCACUGCACACUCUUUGUUUUUGCUGAACCUUUUGAAGGAAGUUGUAGACUUCAACUCUAAAUUCUUCAGCAUGAUGGAACAAGGGAUUCUCCUCCAUAACCACAGUUCAAUUUUAUGCCUAAGAAAAUUAAUAAUUUUAUGUCUAAUAUUCCACCCAUAUUCAAAUUUCCCUAGUUGUUACAAAGUGUCUUUUGUAGUAGUUUGUUUUUUUUAAAGCUGCGAUCCAGUCAAAUUCAUGCAUUGCUUUUGGUUGUUCUGUCUCUUUAGUUUCUUUUAUUUAGUUAGUUAGUUUCUUUUAAUGUGGAGCAGUCCCCUCACCUUUUUUCAUAGCAUUGAUCUUUUGAACAGUCUACAUGUUGUUUUGAAGAACAGGAUAUGUUAUGGGUACAUUAUGGAUCUGUUAGUUUCCUUUCAUUACUCUGUUUAAUUUGUUCUACCUAAUCUUGUAUUUCCUAUGAAUUGGAAGUUUGAACUAUUUUAGAGGCUUGAUAGAUUUGGGUUAAGUAAUUUUUUGGCAAAAACAUUUCACUAUGUACUCCCCCUCCACGGCAGCUGCGCAGUGUGGCUGGCAGCAUCUUAGUUCCCCAAGCAGAGAUUGAACCCAGGCCAUGGUAGUGAAAGCACCAAGUCCUAAUCACUGGACCGCCAGGGAACUCCCCACUGUGUACUUUAUAUUGCAUCACGCCAAGAGGCACAUAGUGUUAGGGUGUCCCACUAUUCAUGAUGCUAGGUUUGAUCCUCAGUUAAGGUAUCAAUUGCCAGAUCUCAAUGCUAAGCAUACACUUUUACCUUUGUAAGUAAUAAGGAAUCUUUAGGGUGAUUCUUUGGCAUCUCGUCAGUAUCUUGUUCCCCAACAGUUUUUUUACCCAGUGGCUUUCACAUUUUGAUUCAAUUUAAUUUUGUUUUAUAAUUAUGUAAAUUCUUCAUUUGAUUCUAAAACCAGAAGUAUAAUACAAUACAAGAUAUAUGAAGAGAACCCUAGCUUCCUUUCUUGUCCAACUUUACCCCCCUUCCUGUAUGUGUGACCAUUUUAAUUUUUGGAUUAUCUUUUUGUUGUUGUUAUAUUUUUAAAAUACAAAUAUAUUUGUUUGUAAAUUAUUUACAUUUCCUCUUUUAGAUAAAAGAUAGCAUUCUAUUGUGUACCUUUCAUAUUUUACUUAUACUGUAUCCACGAAUCACUCCAUACAUACAUAUAUAUAGAAAGAUGUUCAGAAAGGCUUUUCUGAAAUAUAUAUAUAUAUUCAUGUCCUUCCUGUGCUUGAAGUCAUUCAGUGGUACCUCACCUCCCUUGGGAUAAAAUCCAGAUUUCUUAAAAGGCCCAUUAUCAUUGGGCUUCUUCAUGUGUCUCCAGCUUUGUCUCUUUGCCUAGCGCACAGGCACGCGUGUGCUUACACACACACACACACACACACAC